UAGUCCACGCCGUAAACGAUGGAUACUAGCUGUUGGGUUGCAAGACUCAGUGGCUAAGCGAAAGUGAUAAGUAUCCCACCUGGGGAGUACGAACGCAAGUUUGAAACUCAAAGGAAUUGACGGGGGCCCGCACAAGCGGUGGAGCAUGUGGUUUAAUUCGAUGAUACGCGAGGAACCUUACCAAGGCUUAAAUGUAGAUUGACCGGUUUGGAAACAGACUUUUCGCAAGACAAUUUACAAGGUGCUGCAUGGUUGUCGUCAGCUCGUGCCGUGAGGUGUCAGGUUAAGUCCUAUAACGAGCGCAACCCCUGUUGUUAGUUGCCAGCGAGUCAUGUCGGGAACUCUAACAAGACUGCCAGUGCAAACUGUGAGGAAGGUGGGGAUGACGUCAAAUCAUCACGGCCCUUACGCCUUGGGCUACACACGUGCUACAAUGGCCGGUACAGAGAGCAGCCACUGGGCGACCAGGAGCGAAUCUACAAAACCGGUCACAGUUCGGAUCGGAGU
rnacentral:rRNA from 1 species